rnacentral:rRNA from 1 species
AAGGAAUAUUGCUCAAUGGGAGAAAUCCUGAAGCAGCAACGCCGCGUGGAGGAUGAAGGGUCUAUGACUUGUAAACUCCUGUAAAGAAGGAAAAAAUUCCCAUUUGAUGGGAGAUGAUGGUACUUCUGGAGUAAGCCCCGGCUAACUACGUGCCAGCAGCCGCGGUAAUACGUAGGGGGCAAGCGCUGUCCGGAUUUACUGGGUGUAAAGGGUGCUCAGGCGGAUUUGUAAGUCAGAGGUGAAAUCUUACAGCUUAACUGUGAAACUGCCUUUGAUACUGCAAGCCUAGAGUAUGGAAGAGAGUGAUGGAAUAUCUGGUGUAGCAGUGAAAUGCGUAGAUAUCAGAUAGAACACCAAUGGCGAAGGCAGUCACUUGGUCCAUUACUGACGCUAAAGCACGAAAGCGUGGGUAGCAAACA